rnacentral:rRNA from 1 species
CCUACGGGUGGCUGCAGUGGGGAAUUUUGGACAAUGGGCGAAAGCCUGAUCCAGCCAUGCCGCGUGUCUGAAGAAGGCCUUCGGGUUGUAAAGGACUUUUGUCAGGGAGGAAAUCCCUAGUGCUAAUAACACUGGGGGAUGACAGUACCUGAAGAAUAAGCACCGGCUAACUACGUGCCAGCAGCCGCGGUAAUACGUAGGGUGCGAGCGUUAAUCGGAAUUACUGGGCGUAAAGCGUGCGCAGGCGGUUUGAUAAGCCAGAUGUGAAAUCCCCG